ensembl:snRNA U6 U6 spliceosomal RNA
GUGCUCACUUUGGCAGCACAUAUACUGAAAUUAAAAUGCUACAGAGAUGAGCAUGGCCUCUGUGCAACGAUGACACGCAAAUUUGUGAGCAUUCCAUAUUUUU